rnacentral:rRNA from 1 species
GAAUAUCCCGGGCUACACGCGAGCUACAAUGGUUGGUACAAUGGGUAUCUACCCCGAAAGGGGACGGGAAUCUCCUAAAACCAAUCUUAGUUCGGAUUGAGGGCUGCAACUCGCCCUCAUGAAGCUGGAAUCCGUAGUAAUCGCGUUUCAACAGAACGCGGUGAAUACGUCCUGCUCCUU